rnacentral:rRNA from 1 species
UGCGGGGGGAGCAAGCGUUGUUCGGAUUUACUGGGCGUAAAGGGCGCGUAGGUGGCAGGGUAAGUCGGAUGUGAAAGCUCGGAGCUCAACUCCGAAAUGGCAUUGGAAACUACCCAGCUCGAGGGUUGGAGGGGGGACUGGAAUGCUUGGUGUAGCAGUGAAAUGCGUAGAUAUCAAGCGGAACACCAGUGGCGAAGGCGAGUCCCUGGACAACUCCUGACACUGAGGCACGAAAGCUAGGGGAGCAAACAGG